rnacentral:lncRNA from 1 species
CACGAAAAGAGCCGAGCGCACGGCGGAAGCGCCCGAAGAGUUCGCGGAGCCCGGCGCCCAGUUGCCGGGGAGGAGGGCCAGCCGCCGGCAAGGGGGCGCCGAGCUGCUGGUGCGGGCGGGAGUCGGGGCUGCUCCUCCGCGCGGGCCCGCCGGCCCCUCCCCACAAGCCAGCCCCACAGCUGCCGCCCGGGUAGCUUCCCGCAGACGCCGUAGGUAGCACGCGAUGGAACGCGGCGGAGGGGAGCGUGGACACGGCUGCCGGGCGCUGCGGCCAUCGGCGCCCUGGACGCCCGCUCCGGCCUUCGGGGCCGGAUAUCCCCACUCUCGCGGGCUCUUUCGCGUGGACCCCUCCUCCGGCCGACACUCACACUGCGGUGAACGCCAGUCAGCUGGCGUGAAAUAAGGUCGCUGGGAAGGCACCAAGUCACCAAGGAUGGAGUCUUACUGUGUUGCCCAGGCUGGAGUGCAACGGCAGUAUCUCAGCUCACUGCAACCUCUGCCUCCCGGGUUCAAGCGAUUCUUCAACCUCAGCCUCCCGAGUAGCUGGGAUUACAGACGCCCGCCAUCAUGCUCGGCUAAUUUUCGUAUUUUUGUAGAGAUGGGGUUUCACCAUUUUGGCCAGGCUGGUCUUGAACUCCUGACCUCAGGUGAUUCGCCUGCCUUGGCCUCUCAAAGUGCUGGGAUUACAGGCGUGAGCCACCGCGCCCAGCCAAAACGUUUAUUUUCUAAUUUACAGUCAGGGGAAAGAAGUUUUAUUUUGUUUUGCUUUUUCCCUUGAGGAACUGAAUGUUUUCUCCUUUCUGAUUUUAAAGUAAACUAACUUACUGUGUUUCUCUUUUUGCCCUCAAAUUUGCUACCCAGUUAGUCCCUGCAGCUCUGUUAUUCUUCAUAAUCAGCAUGCCUGCUUUUCCCGCCUCUGAUUUUCUGGUUCUACUGUCUUAGCCUUCAUGUCUGUGUUACCUUUUCUGGAACCUGCUUCAAAUCCUUUCUGAAGGGGGAAGCCUCUGAAUAAAUGAGUGACUGACUUCCACCU